rnacentral:lncRNA from 1 species
AACAUAUCACUUAGAAAACAAACAUCACGAGGAUAAACGUCAUAGCUUCAACCACAAAAACUGAACGCUACUGAGCCCUAACCAUUUCAGCUAGGUUCGCAGCAUAGAGGCGAGAGAUACAUAAUUUGAUCGACUCCCCAAUUCUUACACCUUUCUUUACUAACAAAAAUACUUAAAACACAUUAAAAUGAGAUUGAGAGCAAGAAAUUCGACCAAACAGAAAAACAACUCCUAAAUUCAAAAAUUAACAGACACAGAAAAAUAUCAUCAAAACGGGUCAUGGCACGCUUAUUGAAUCAUAGAAUUUCAACUAUUGUUCCAGCCUUAAUCACUUUUACAAUUGUCCACAACUCACAUUCACAGCAGAAACAUAGAAGAAGAAAAGAUGUGAACCUGGAACGAAUUCGUCACAACACUGAAAUCGACACAGAACAAAAACCAAAACAGCAGAAAACCAAUCUUCGAGCACAGCCUCAAAAUUUCUCAAAUGAUUCCCAUUUUUGAAGUCAUAAUCGACAGGAGAUGAAAAUAACAACCAUCAGGGAUUUUUUGUGUUUGUCUAUUACAAAAAAAAUGAAGAAGGAAAGAAACUCUUCAAAAUUCCUCUAAAAAAAAACUACCCAAAAAACUGACCCCUCCGAAAUUCAUCCCAAAUCCCUUUUGAGAACGAAUUCCUGAUGAAUGUGGGGCUUGGAUUGAAUUGAAUUAAUCCAACGCCUCACACUCACCCAGCAAAUCCUUCUCAGAAUCUUCCAAUCACGUACCUUAUCUCCAAAUCGAGGGAGUGAAAGGAACGAGAAUAUUCGCGUCAGAAACGGUUAGAGAUGGUGAUGAGGAGAGAAGGACGAAUGCGUGAGGAGGAAUUUGAGACUUACUCGCUUGGAUUUGGGCUAAAUGGAGGCAUGGUUCAUGUUCUUCUUUGGAGAAGAAGAACAGUCGGCUGGUCACAGUUGAGAUUAGGGCUUCGUGUAUGUAUCCGUGUGUGUAUUGUGCUAACGGGUCGGCUCGGGGGUUAUU